UCAUGCCUAUGAUGAGUUGAAAUCAUUGCCUACAUCGUCUGAUAAAUAUUCUAUGAUAUAAUUCAACAUCUGAGGCUGA